GGGCCCGCACAAGCGGUGGAGUAUGUGGUUUAAUUCGAUGCAACGCGAAGAACCUUACCAGGGUUUGACAUCCUGCGAAUCUCUUGGAAACGAGAGAGUGCCUUCGGGAGCGCAGUGACAGGUGGUGCAUGGCUGUCGUCAGCUCGUGUCGUGAGAUGUUGGGUUAAGUCCCGCAACGAGCGCAACCCACGUCUUUAGUUGCCAGCACAUAAUGGUGGGCACUCUAAGGAGACUGCCGGUGACAAACCGGAGGAAGGCGGGGACGAUGUCAAGUCAUCAUGGCCCUUACGAGUAGGGCUACACACGUGCUACAAUGGCAGGUACAGAGGGCAGCGAAACGGCGACGUGGAGCGAA
rnacentral:rRNA from 1 species